UUAUAAAGAGGUUACAAAAAAUUUCUACAAAAAAAAAUAUUUAUUACAUGCAAAGAUGAAAAAGAUGACUUCAAUUUUUAUGUUUGUUCUUGUUUUGAUCAUCUUUUUUUCUCCAUUGAUCAUUUUCAAAUACCCGAUUACCAUUACAAAAACCAAAUAUCCCUGCGACUCAAAGCAUGAUUGUCCAGAGCUUGUAUAUUUUUUUCGUGAUUGUAUUGAUGAUUUAUGUGAGUAUUGGGAUCAGUGAUUGAGCUAGAAAUUUGCAAUAGUGGUGUUAUCAAAUUUAUAAUAUUUUUUAUAGGAUGUAUCCGAUUUUA